rnacentral:rRNA from 1 species
AUUAGAGUUUGAUCAUGGCUCAGAUUGAACGCUGGCGGCAUGCUUUACACAUGCAAGUCGAACGGCAGCGCGGGCUUCGGCCUGGCGGCGAGUGGCGAACGGGUGAGUAAUGCAUCGGAACGUACCCAGUCGUGGGGGAUAACACAUCGAAAGAUGUGCUAAUACCGCAUACGUCCUACGGGAGAAAGCAGGGGCUCUUUAUGACCUUGCGCUAAUAGAUGAGCCUAAGUCGGAUUAGCUAGUUGGUGGGGUAAAGGCCUACCAAGGCGACGAUCUGUAGCGGGUCUGAGAGGAUGAUCCGCCACACUGGGACUGAGACACGGCCCAGACUCCUACGGGAGGCAGCAGUGGGGAAUAUUGGACAAUGGGGGGAACCCUGAUCCAGCCAUGCCGCGUGUGUGAAGAAGGCCUUUUGGUUGUAAAGCACUUUAAGUGGGGAGGAGGCUUACCUGGUUAAUACCUGGGCUAAGUGGACGUUACCCACAGAAUAAGCACCGGCUAACUCUGUGCCAGCAGCCGCGGUAAUAAU